GAUGAACGCUGGCGGCGUGCCUAAUACAUGCAAGUCGAGCGAACAGACGAGGAGCUUGCUCCUUUGACGUUAGCGGCGGACGGGUGAGUAACACGUAGGUAACCUACCUAUAAGACUGGGAUAACUUCGGGAAACCGGAGCUAAUACCGGAUAAUAUUUCGAACCGCAUGGUUCGAUAGUGAAAGAUGGCUUUGCUAUCACUUAUAGAUGGACCUGCGCCGUAUUAGCUAGUUGGUAAGGUAACGGCUUACCAAGGCAACGAUACGUAGCCGACCUGAGAGGGUGAUCGGCCACACUGGAACUGAGACACGGUCCAGACUCCUACGGGAGGCAGCAGUAGGGAAUCUUCCGCAAUGGGCGAAAGCCUGACGGAGCAGCGCCGCGUGAGUGAUGAAGGUCUUCGGAUCGUAAAACUCUGUUAUUAGGGAAGAACAAACGUGUAAGUAACUGUGCACGUCUUGACGGUACCUAAUCAGAAAGCCACGGCUAACUACGUG
rnacentral:rRNA from 1 species